rnacentral:rRNA from 1 species
GCUUAUGGCCAUACCACGCUGUGCACGCCCGAUCUCGUCUGAUCUCGGAAGCUAAGCAGGGUUGGGCUUGGUUAGUACUUGGAUGGGAGACUACCUGGGGAUACCAGGUGCUGUAAGCU